UACGUAGGUGGCAAGCGUUGUCCGGAAUUACUGGGUGUAAAGGGAGCGUAGGCGGGAAGCCAAGUCAGCUGUGAAAACUACGGGCUUAACCUGUAGACUGCAGUUGAAACUGCUUAGCUUGAGUGAAGUGGAGGUAGGCGGAAUUCCCGGUGUAGCGGUGAAAUGCGUAGAGAUCGGGAGGAACACCAGUGGCGAAGGCGGCCUACUGGGCACCAACUGACGCUGAGGCUCGAAAGUGUGGGUAGCAAACAGG
rnacentral:rRNA from 1 species